CGCUUCUCUUCAGUCGCCUUUUGGACUGCUGAGGAACGAGGGGAAAUAAACGCCCCCUCCGGUUGGCGAAGGAAUUGCAGUCUCCCACCUCGUCUUUUCAAACUAGGAAACAACGCAGACUACAUUUAGCCAGUGUCAGUGCAGACCGGCUACGUAUGGCAGCCCUGGCCUCCGCUCGCCAAGCCCAACCCCUCCCCCAGACUCUUAGCGUUCUGGAGAGUACGCCCCAGGUCAGGGGCAUCCACCCCAUCAUCAGAAACAAGGAAACCAGCCAAAAUGAGUUCAUCUUUUACUUCAAGAGGUUGAUGCGUCUGUUGAUUGAGCGAGCACUCUCCUUCCUCCCGUCACAGGUUCUGAUGCACAGUUCAUUCAUUCACUUUGGAUCAAUACAUUCUCACUCCUUGACGAGCAGGAGUGAGAAUGUCUGAGGUUGAUGAAUAGACAGAUGUCGACAUAGGAAACGAUGAAAGAUUGCAUCUGCUCAAGAGCAAUUAAACAUUCAUAUGCAGUCAUUCAUAUUGAGGAAAAUAUGGAGUAAUAUGUGCCCAGAAAGGCUCUUUACACUUUUUGUAUGAUGUCACAUACAGAUACUGAACAUACAUAUGACCCCAAAAAUUACAUUUUCUUCUUUCCCAUUUUACAACUUUAAAAAAAUAACAUCUCUUUUCUUUAUUUAAUCUGUAUUGUAGUAAAAUUAAAGUUUUUUCUUAAUAUUUACUUUGUUCUUGUAAAAGUACACCUGUAUUUUCCGUUUCUGUUUUUAUAUUUUUAUUUUCCAACUAUUUCAACUGGCGCUGCUGCCAUGAUGGCCGUUCGAGUCCUACUGGUGAGUCCUGGUUCUUGCUCCCGGUAGUGGGCAGAAACUGGUACACAUUCAUUCAUCCCGCUUAUCCUCAUGAGGGUCGCGGGGGGUGCUGGAGCCUAUCCCAGCUGUCUUCCACCCUGGACUGGUGGCCAGCCAAUCACAGGGCACAUAUAGACAAACAACCAUUCACACUCACAUUCAUACCUAUGGACAAUUUAGAGUGGCCAAUUAACCUAGCAUGUUUUUGGAACGUGGGAGGACAUACAAACUCCACACAGAGAUGGCAGAGGGUGGAAUUGAACUUCUAGCUGGGUUGGCCUUGAAAGUGCAAUACUGUGGAUGACUUAAUGUGUCACAAUGUUGUUGCUCCACUGCUGUGCACUGUAGCAGUAUUGGAAAAAAAAAGUUCAAUCCUAUAACGUGCAAACUGCGAUCAAACUACUAAAUGUUUCUCACAGCUAAAUGCUACUUAUUAGCACAUUUUGUUGUCAUUCACACGUGUGCAGUUUGCACUGUUUUGUUUACAACUUCUGAUGCAUGUUUUUGUUAUAUGUUCCAUAAAAGUGCAACGGUGGUCUAACUUAGUUUUGACUCCAAAUAUACUGUAAUCUGCUAACACCAAAACGUCUCAUCUUACAUAUUUAUCCUUUAUCAUAUAUUUCAAAACAAAAAGAGGCCCUUUGAAACAGGAAGGAUAUUGUGGAAAGCAACCUUGAUAUCUUCCAUCACUUUCCGUAACGACCACUGACAGCUGUCAAGAUGUCAGCCACGGUAAAGUAUGAUUGACGCACAUUUGAUGAGCCUCACGGACAAUUACAAACCGGCAGCUUGUUAGACACAUAUUGACCUCCAAGAGGCGUGUAUUAGCAGGGGGAAGAAGUGAGGGGUGUGUG